rnacentral:rRNA from 1 species
GGCGGCCCCCUGGACAAAGACUGACGCUCAGGUGNGAAAGCGUGGGGAGCAAACNGGAUUAGAUNNNNGGUANNCCACGCUGUAAACGAUGUCGAUUUGGAGGUUGUGCCCUNGAGGCGUGGCUUCCGGAGCUAACGCGUUAAAUCGACCGCCUGGGGAGUACGGCCGCAAGGUUAAAACUCAAAUGAAUUGACGGGGGCCCGCACAAGCGGUGGAGCAUGUGGUUUAAUUCGAUGCAACGCGAAGAACCUUACCUACUCUUGACAUCCACAGAACUUUCCAGAGAUGGAUUGGUGCCUUCGGGAACUGUGAGACAGGUGCUGCAUGGCUGUCGUCAGCUCGUGUUGUGAAAUGUUGGGUUAAGUCCCGCAACGAGCGCAACCCUUAUCCUUUGUUGCCAGCACUUCGGGUGGGAACUCAAAGGAGACUGCCGGUGAUAAACCGGAGGAAGGUGGGGAUGACGUCAAGUCAUCAUGGCCCUUACGAGUAGGGCUACACACGUGCUACAAUGGCGUAUACAAAGAGAAGCAAACUCGCGAGAGCCAGCGGACCUCAUAAAGUACGUCGUAGUCCGGAUUGGAGUCUGCAACUCGACUCCAUGAAGUCGGAAUCGCUAGUAAUCGUAGAUCAGAAUGCUACGGUGAAUACGUUCCCGGGCCUUGUACACACCGCCCGUCACACCAUGGGAGUGGGUUGCAAAAGAAGUAGGUAGCUUAACCUUCGGGAGGGCGUUUACCACGGUGUGAUUCAUGACUGGGGUG